GAUGAAGAACGUAGCGAAAUGCGAUACGUAAUGUGAAUUGCAGAAUUCAGUGAAUCAUCGAGUCUUUGAACGCACAUUGCGCCCCUUGGUAUUCCGAGGGGCAUGCCUGUUCGAGCGUCAUUUUGACCACUCCCGCUUGCGGGGUCUUGGGCCUUCGCCUCUGGGCGGGCCUUAAAAUCAGUGGCGGUGCCGUCCGGCUCUAAGCGUAGUAAAUCUCCUCGCUAUAGGGUUCCGGAGGGAUGCUGGCCAACAACCCCCAACUUUUAAGGUUGACCUCGGAUCAGGUAGGGAUACCCGCUGAACUUAAGCAUAUCAAUAAGCGGAGGA
rnacentral:misc_RNA from 1 species